GUGAGUGCCUCAUACAUCUCCACU
rnacentral:siRNA from 1 species